UUCAGUUUUUUAUGGGAGAAAUUCACGGAAAUUUUUUCCACAGAAUGUGCGGGAGAUUCUCGAAGAGCGGAAAAUUUGUACCGAGACCAAAAAAUAUCGUAAAUUAGAAAUAGAGCUAGAUCCAUCCGAAUUGGUUGGAAUCGUAAUUGCCAAAGUGCAAUUCGGUAUUCGGUCACCGUAGCGCCUCGUACGUAGAUCCUUCUUUUCCGGAGCAACGGCAGUACGGCCGCGGCAGCCGAGGCGACAACCUCGUCAGGAGCGAUAUCGGUGGCACCGCGUACGACAUCCUUGUCGGAGAGAAAGGAGAAGCUGGAAAGGACACCGGCAGAGAGAGAGAUACAUUGGGGCUAAUAAUUCGUCAUUACGGUGCCUCUUUUAUCGCAGUACUUAUUCAACUUCCAACCACGAAGGACAGGACUUACAUAGCAUCGCACAAUUCGUUUACAGGUACUCAAGGAUACUGCCAUCGCAGUUACUAUACCCCGGACUCCCCCUGUUCAUCGAGGGGAGUCCAUAGACUGUCCCCUGGGACAGCGCG